GCGGCUGUAGCUCAGGGGUAGAGCAACCGGUUGUGGUCCGGUCGGUCGUGGGUUCAAAUCCCAUCAGUCGCCCCA
rnacentral:tRNA from 1 species